rnacentral:rRNA from 1 species
UACAGAGGGUGCGAACGUUGCUCGGAAUGAUUGGGCGUAAAGCGCGUGCAGGCGGCCGAUUAUGCCGGUUGUGAAAGCCCGUGGCUCAACCACGGAAGUGCAGUCGGAACUGAUCGGCUAGAGUGCCGAAGAGGGUGGCGGAAUGCCCAGUGUAGAGGUGAAAUUCGUAGAUAUUGGGUAGAACACCGGUGGCGAAGGCGGCCACCUGGGAGGUUACUGACGCUGAGACGCGAAAGCGUGGGGAGCAAACAGG